rnacentral:misc_RNA from 1 species
ACUCCACCUUCGGUAUAUAAUAAAACUUGAGACUCUCUUGCCGGAUGGAUUGUUUCUCACUGCAGGCGCGUGAAUGCGUUGAGAGAAUCGAGAAGCGAACGCUAACCCGGGUCGAUUUAUCGUCGAGCAUCGAAAUGACACCGAAUCCAAUGGUCCCAGAUCCGAAACUCAUGGACGGUGGAAACUACAUCAAGGAAGGCAGAGACUCGGCCAAAAGCACUUGCCUGAUAUUCUCACCCCGGGAAGACGACGAGGUCGGGAGUCUAGGACGCUACUUGAAACUAUUCGCAAAGCACAAAGUCAACCUCCUCCACAUCGAGUCAAGGAGCUCGGCUCGGACCGUCGACAACUAUGAAUUCAUGGUGGAGUGCGCACCUGGCGGUGACUUGGCUGCCGUUAUCGAAACUCUGCGCGACCAGUGCGGAUACUUCUCUAUAAUAUCCAGGAACCACAAGGACAACCUGGGCACCGUUCCGUGGUUCCCCGGCAGGAUACGAGACUUGGACAGAUUCGCGAACCAGAUUCUAUCCUACGGUUCUGAACUGGACUCUGAUCAUCCCGGAUUUACAGACACGGUUUACAGAGCGAGGAGGAAGUACUUCGCCGACAUCGCCUACCACUACAAACAUGGAGAGCCCAUUCCACGGGUCGAUUACACUCCCGCAGAAACCGCCACGUGGGGUGUCGUAUUCAGGAAACUGACGUCGAUGUACCCGAAGUACGCCUGCAGGGAACACAAUCACGUGUUUCCGCUGCUUAUAGAGAACUGCGGCUACAGGGAGGACAACAUUCCGCAGCUUGAGGAUAUCUCGAAUUUCCUAAAAGAUUGCACGGGGUUCACGCUUCGUCCAGUCGCCGGUCUUCUUUCGUCGCGCGACUUCCUCGCCGGCUUGGCCUUCCGAGUCUUUCACAGCACCCAGUACAUCAGGCACAGCAGCAAACCUCUCUACACCCCGGAACCCGACGUUUGCCACGAGGUCCUUGGCCAUGUUCCACUUUUCGCAGACCCGGCAUUCGCGCAGUUCUCUCAGGUCAUCGGGCUCGCCUCCCUCGGAGCUCCGGACGAGUACAUCGAGAAGCUCGCCACCUGCUUUUGGUUCACCGUUGAAUUCGGCCUCUGUAGACAAAACGGAGAACUGAAGGCUUACGGUGCCGGGCUUUUGUCGUCCUACGGUGAGCUGGAAUACAGCCUGAGCGACAAGCCGGAGCUGAGACCAUUCGAUCCGGCAAAAACGGCGCUUCAGAAAUACCCAAUAACCGAAUAUCAGCCGGUCUACUUCGUCGCCGAGGAUUUCGAGGACGCGAAGGAAAAGAUGAUAAAAUUCGCCCAAACGAUUCCGAGGAAAUUUGGCGUCAGAUACGAUCCGUACACGCAAAGUGUUAACAUCAUCGACAGCAAACACCAAAUCGAAGAUUUAGUCACGAACGUUAAUCAGGAAGUUCAACUUUUGAUGGACGCGUUGAAAAAGCUGAAGGAUUAAACUUAUUGUUUUUAAUAAUAAUUGAUAUUAUUGUUAUACCUAUGUACAUUUUACGAUAAGAAUUCUUAACGCGGUAUAAAAUUUUCUAUUUGUUAUAUUUAAAGUAAUGUCAGUUUUUUUUUUUUUUUUUUUUAUUAUAAAAGUGAAGACGGAAAUACAUAUGUAGGUAGAUUAUACAUCAUGAUUGUGUGGUGUGUAUGAAAAUCUAUUUUUUUCUGUCGA